AUGUACGAGAUGCAGUUCGGCGUGCCCAUGAGCGGCGCCGUCCUGAACAACAUCAACACGCGCCUCGACGCGCGCACCGUGUCCGUCCUCCUCCACCACUCCGGCUCGAAGCUCGUCCUCGUCGACCCGGCGUCGCUCCAGCUCCCCGAGGAUGCGCUCCGGCUCCUGCCGCCGGAGCACUCUGCCCCCCGCGUCGUCGUCGCCGACGACCCCCAUGAGAAGGAGCUCCUUCCCGCCCCCGCGACGGCGUUGACGUACGAGAGGCUGCUUGAGAAAGGCGACCCGGAUUUCGCGUGGGUCCGGCCGGCGAACGAGUGGGAGCCGAUGAUCCUGAACUACACCUCUGGUACGACGUCGGCGCCCAAGGGGGUGUUGCACUGCCACCGCGGCAUCUUCUUGAUAACCCUCGACUCGCUCGUGGACUGGGGGAUGCCGGCGCGGCCGACGUACCUGUGGACGCUGCCCAUGUUCCACGUCAACGGCUGGAGCUUUCCAUGGGGGAUGGCCGUGGUGGGCGGCACCAACGUCUGCCUUCGCCGGGUGGACGCCGCAGAUGUCUACGCCGCCAUCUCUCGCCACGGGGUGACGCACCUGUGCGGCGCGCCGGUCGUGCUCAACAUGCUGGCCAAUGCACCCGAGGCCGUGCGGAAGACGCUGCCCGGCAACGUGGAGAUACUCACGGGCGGCGCACCGCCGCCCGCUGCCGUGCUGCACCGCACCGAGGCCAUCGGCUUCAAAGUCAGGCACGGGUACGGACUAUGCGAGACGGCGGGACUGGCGACGUCGUGCGUCUGGAACGCGGAGUGGGACAAGCUGCCCGCCACGGAGCGCGCACGGUUCAAAGCAAGGCAGGGCGUGCGCACGCCGGCUACAGCCGAGGUGGACGUCGUCGACGAGAAGACCGGCCGCAGCAUGCCCCGUGAUGGCUCCACGGUAGGCGAGGUCGUGAUCCGAGGAGGGUGCGUCAUGCUGGGGUACUUCAACGACGAGGCGGCGACAGGGGCGGCGAUCGGAGACGGCUGGUUCUACACGGGGGACGUCGGGGUGAUGCACCCGGACGGCUACCUGGAGAUACGCGACCGCUCCAAGGACGUGAUCAUAAGCGGCGGGGAGAACAUCAGCAGCGUGGAGGUGGAGUCCGUGCUGUACGGCCAUCCGGCCGAGAACGAGGCGGCCGUGGUGGCGCGCCCCGACGAGUUCUGGGGGGAGACGCCUUGCGCGUUCGUGAGCCUCAAGUGGGGCAAUGGUAGGGGCGAGCUGACGGAGGCCGAGCUCGUGGCGUGGAGCCGGGAGCGCAUGCCGCGCUACAUGGUGCCCAAGACCGUCGUGUUCCGGGACGAGCUGCCCAAGACGUCCACGGGCAAGAUCCAGAAGUACGUGCUCCGGAACAUCGCAAAGGAGAUGGGGCCCACCAGCAGGGGCGUUAGCAGCAAGAUGUAG
rnacentral:rRNA from 1 species